GACGAACGCUGGCGGCGUGCUUAACACAUGCCAGUCGAACGCUGAAGCUCAGCUUUUGUUGGGUGGAUGAGUGGCGAACGGGUGAGUAACACGUGAGUAACCUGCCUCCUUCUUUGGGAUAACGCCCGGAAACGGGUGCUAAUACUGGAUAUUCACUGGUCUUCGCAUGGGGGUUGGUGGAAAGGGUUUUUCUGGUGGGGGAUGGGCUCGCGGCCUAUCAGCUUGUUGGUGGGGUGAUGGCCUACCAAGGCUUUGACGGGUAGCCGGCCUGAGAGGGUGACCGGUCACAUUGGGACUGAGAUACGGCCCAGACUCCUACGGGAGGCAGCAGUGGGGAAUAUUGCACAAUGGGCGCAAGCCUGAUGCAGCGACGCCGCGUGAGGGAUGGAGGCCUUCGGGAUGUGAACCUCUUUCGCUCAUGGUCAAGCCGCAACAAUGGUUGUGGUGAGGGUAGUGGGUAAAGAAGCGCCGGCUAACUACGUG
rnacentral:rRNA from 1 species